UGGACCAAACACAAAUUCAUUUUAAACUUAUAAUCGAGUAUAGGUUUAUCUAAUUUUGAUUAUUAUCAUUUUCAUAUGUCAACACCAUCACAACCACUCUACUUUUAAACCACACCCUAUCUUACUCAUUCUUGACCUCACCCACGAAUCCCUCUUCCAAAAUCCAUUUCAUAUGCUUUUCUUUUUCUCUCUCUUCCACCAUCAUCCCUGUCCCCGUCUCUUCCAUCUUCACAACCGUGAGAGAUUGAACCAAACGACCCAAAGCCAUAGCCUUUGAUUUCUCGCUCCCACCCAUUUAAAUCUGGUUCAUGAACCUAUGCAAAACUUCAUGAUUAUGUGUUUGCGAUGGAAGGAAUUUGAGUCUCGCGAUUCUGAUGCGCAAUGGUUCAACGAGAGAAUAAGAACACUAAGCUUGAGAAUUGAGAAAUAAGAGAAUCAAGAGUUAUUUUGUUGUUGUUGUGGGAAGUUGGUGAGGUUGGUGUGAGGCUUUUCUUAAAUCUUCUUCCUCUUUUAGUUCUCUGCAACAUCCACAUUGAAUAGUGUCUACAGAUUCCAUGGAGUCCGACACCUACUUUGGUUCUUAAGGCACUCCUCCACACUGAGAGGACAGUUAGAAGUUGUUAAUGAUCAUUUAUACGCAUCUCUUUAUUGAACAAGAGCAGAGGUUUACUUCGAAUCAUGCUGCUAAAAAAAUGUUGAAUUACUCACAAGAAUUACAGACAAAAAAAAAUGAAACUAGAUAGUCUCCAAGCUUUAGGCAUCAUUGAAACUUAAUUACCAAAUUAGAGACUAGUUUCACCGUUUUCCAUUAAUGAUUCAGGCGGAAAGUCAUGUGUUUAAAUGAAGAGGAUCCAAGUUAACUUUGAUCAUUAAUAGGUGGUAAAAAUUAGCAACUUCCUAAGUUCUCAAAACUAAACUGAAUACUUAACUGAUGCAAUAGAACAGAGUUGAUUUAUAUUGCAGACACAGUAUAAGUUAUACAAACUAACUAGUAAAGUACCGAAUUAGAAUAAUUUCGAAUUGCUAUUUACAAGUGGUAUUUCGAUGAGUAGCACCUAGUACUGUAAUGCUACACCCAUUCAAAAACAAGCUGUUCUUACAUGCCCCCGAAAAGGGAAAAUAAAUAAAUAUAAAUGAAAUUUUGUGCAA